AAAGCUAGCCUGUGGAUAACAGACUUAUCUCACGCAAUAGACCACAGAGACUGGGAUGUUUGGCACCGUGAUGUCGGCUCAGCACAUCCUGGGGCUUUAGUAUGUCCCAAGGGUUUGUCUGUUCGCCCAUUAAAGUGGUACGCGAUCUGGGUUCAGAACGUCGUGAGACAGUUC
rnacentral:rRNA from 1 species